rnacentral:lncRNA from 1 species
UGAAUAUUUUAAAUUAUUAUAAUCGAAUCUUACAAUUCAAUUUAAUUGAUUUAGACUUAGUUUGGUAUUGAGACUUAUCUAACGUUAUUAUAUAAAAUUGAGUUGAGAAAAAGCAUAUAGUGAUAUGCUUCUACAUUGUCCGGUGGAACCGUAGAAAAUAUAUAAUAACCGAUUUAUCGCGAUAUGCGAAACGCAACAUACGAAUAGGGUAUUUUUCCAACGUACUUUCUCACAACACGUAACGCAAUCUUCCCGCAAUCCCCAACGAAGCCUUAAUAUUGGUGUGUCGUUCAGAUAGACAUAAUGCGG